rnacentral:lncRNA from 1 species
AACUUGGUGGGAUGGAGCAUUUGCUUUCCACCCUGUGUAGAGGCUGAGGCAGAGUGAGAUGAGGAUCCGAGGCCAAACGCUGGAGAAAACUUCACAAUGGAAGAGAGACAGCUUCUUUCCUCAGCCUUGCAGUCCCCGAUCAAACUGGGUACCUUUCCCUUCUCAGGGAGGCUGGCUUCCCCAAUCAGCCUUGCCUGAGUUCCCUGGGAGGGCGCUUACCUGGGAAUGUUUCCAAAAAGCAAGGAAGGCCAGACCUGGACGUUUCCAGGGAAGGCAAAUCUCCGAGGCGGUAGUGGAGUCAUCUUCUCCCUCCCCAACAGUACCCGCUUCCCUGCAGGGCUCUAAGAAUUGUUGGCGGUUUUGUAUCCUGGCGCUUCGCUUUUUCCGCCCUUCCUCUGGUUUGGGGCUCCUUUUCAGGAGAGCCUCUGCUUUGUUCCUUCGACUAGCUCCGCUGUGGGAUUCAGCAUGCCCUGCCUCUGCUUCACCCGGAAGCAUCACAGGGCUGCCUUUCAGAGGACCACCAAACCUGAUUGGAGCUGGAGGUACAGAGAUGCAGCCUUAUCCAAUCUCCAGCAUCAGCAGACAACAUGAAUUGAAAAGAGCCUUAGAUAAC